rnacentral:rRNA from 1 species
UACGUAGGGUGCGAGCGUUAAUCGGAAUUACUGGGCGUAAAGCGUGCGCAGGCGGUUGGCCAAGUCAGCUGUGAAAGCCCCGGGCUCAACCUGGGAAUUGCGGUUGAAACUAGUCGACUAGAAUCUGGCAGAGGGGGGUGGAAUUCCACGUGUAGCAGUGAAAUGCGUAGAUAUCGUAAGGAAGACCAGUGGCGAAGGCGGGUCUCUGGACAGUUCCUGACGCUGAGGCACGAAGGUCAGGGGAGCAAACGGG